rnacentral:rRNA from 1 species
ACGUAGGGCGCGAGCGUUGUCCGGAUUUAUUGGGCGUAAAGAGCUCGUAGGCGGCUUGUCGCGUCGAAUGUGAAAUCUCGGGGCUCAACUCCGAGCUUGCAUUCGAUACGGGCAGGCUAGAGUUCGGUAGGGGAGACUGGAAUUCCUGGUGUAGCGGUGAAAUGCGCAGAUAUCAGGAGGAAUACCGAUGGCGAAGGCAGGUCUCUGGGCUGAAACUGACGCUCAUGCACGAAAGCGUGGGGAGCAAACAGGA